rnacentral:rRNA from 1 species
GAUGAACGCUGGCUGCGUGCCUAAUACAUGCAAGUCGAGCGAACGGACGAGAAGCUUGCUUUUCUGAUGUUAGCGGCGGACGGGUGAGUAACACGUGGUUAACCUACCUAUAAGACUGGGAUAACUUCGGGAAACCGGAGCUAAUACCGGAUAAUAUUUUGAACCGCAUGGUUCAAAAGUGAAAGACGGUCUUGCUGUCACUUAUAGAUGGAUCCGCGCUGCAUUAGCUAGUUGGUAAGGUAACGGCUUACCAAGGCAACGAUGCAUAGCCGACCUGAGAGGGUGAUCGGCCACACUGGAACUGAGACACGGUCCAGACUCCUACGGGAGGCAGCAGUAGGGAAUCUUCCGCAAUGGGCGAAAGCCUGACGGAGCAACGCCGCGUGAGUGAUGAAGGUCUUCGGAUCGUAAAACUCUGUUAUUAGGGAAGAACAUAUGUGUAAGUAACUGUGCACAUCUUGACGGUACCUAAUCAGAAAGCCACGGCUAACUACGUG